CCAAUAGCGUAUAUUAAAGUUGUUGCAGUUAAAAAGCUCGUAGUUGAACUUCGGAAUCAAUUAGUUGGUCAUGCCUUGGUAUGUACUGAUUUUAUUGGUUCUCACCUUCUAAAGAACCAUAAUGUCAUUUAUUUGAUGUUAUGGGGAAUUAGGACUGUUACCUUGAAAAAAUUAGAGUGUUUAAAGCAGGCUAACGCUUGAAUACAUUAGCAUGGAAUAAUGAAAUAGGAAAUCGCAUUCUAUUUUGUUGGUUUCUAGGAUCGAUGUAAUGAUUAAUAGGGAUAGUUGGGGGCAUUAGUAUUCAAUUGUCAGAGGUGAAAUUCUUGGAUUUAUUGAAGACUAACUACUGCGAAAGCAUUUGCCAAGGAUGUUUUCAUUAAUCAAGAACGAAAGUUAGGGGAUCGAAGACGAUCAGAUACCGUCGUAGUCUUAACCAUAAACUAUGCCGACUAGGGAUCGGAUGAUGUUGAUUUUUUAAUGACUCAUUCGGCACCUUACG
rnacentral:rRNA from 1 species